rnacentral:lncRNA from 1 species
CUUACUUUUCCAGAGCCCCCAGCCCGAGACAGAGCCUUCCGGUGUGUCAGCUGAAGAGGUGCUCACCUUCGGUGUGUCAGCUGAAGAGGUGCUCACCUUAUCACACCCAGCCCACGGAGCCUGAUAAAGAAAAUGAGAAUCUCAGCCAUAAAAAAAGACAAAGCCAUGCCAUUUUCAAGAACAUGGAUGGACCUUGAGGUUUACAAGACCUGGAACAUUGGGUUACAUCAAAGUAAGGAUGGAGCUGAUGAAAGGACAGCAAUUGGGCAUCUACAUUGACGGUGACCGAGAGUGAAGCUUGUACCAACUUGUUUCAGAACUUCCACUUUCGUCAGACCGGUGUCACAUGCGGGUGUUGGUUCCAUUUUGCUCCAAUGUGCAAAUCCAGGAAGUUGAGGAAGAGUAGCUCUAGCUGGCAGGGCUGGAGGAAGUGGGCAGCAG